rnacentral:misc_RNA from 1 species
AUGCGAUAAGUAAUGUGAAUUGCAGAAUUCAGUGAAUCAUCGAAUCUUUGAACGCACCUUGCGCUCCUUGGUAUUCCGAGGAGCAUGCCUGUUUGAGUGUCAUUAAAUUCUCAACCUCACCAGUUUUCUGAACUGUUCUUCGAGGCUUGGAUGUGGGGGUUUGUGCAGGCUGCCUCACGGCGGUCUGCUCCCCUGAAAUGCAUUAGCGAGUUCAUACUGAACUUCCGUCUAUUGGUGUGAUAAUUAUCUACGCCGUGGACGAGGAUCAGACUCGCUUCUAACCGUCCGCGAGGACAAUACCUUGACAAUUUGACCUCAAAUCAGGUAGGACUACCCGCUGAACUUAA